AAUAUUGGGCAAUGGGGGCAACCCUGACCCAGCAAUGCCGCGUGCAGGAGGACGCCCUUCGGGGUGUAAACUGCUUUUGCGAGGGAGCAGCAAGGCGCGUACCUCGCGAAUCAGUCACGGCUAACUACGUGCCAGCAGCCGCGGUAAUACGUAGGUGGCGAACGUUAUCCGGAGUGACUGGGUGUAAAGGGUCCGUAGGCGGGAGCGCAAGUCUGCUGUGAAAGCGCCGGGCUCACCUCGGCGAGGUCAUUGGAAACUGCACUUCUUGAAUCACGCAGAGGUCGGCGGAAUUCCCGGUGUAGUGGUGGAAUGCGUAGAGAUCGGGAGGAACCUCGAAAGCGAAGGCAGCCGACUGGGGGAUGAUUGACGCUGAGGGACGAAAGCGUGGGGAGCGAAC
rnacentral:rRNA from 1 species